GCGACCCACACAGCCUCUGCUUCGGGGGAAGGAAUAUGAAAAUCCCAUGGCUCUUCAUAACUUUACAUUUUACUGCCAAAAGCAAAUCACUUUAACGGAGCUAUAAAAGGAAGAGGGAAGAACAACACUAUCAUGUGCCUGGAAGGAGAAGAAUCAGAAUCAUUGAGGAACCACACUAAUGACUAACACACUGCAACUACAGAGAUUUCCUGCAAAACUUGCAUAAUCACAUAUGCUCAUUACUUUUGGAUUUCUUGUGAUUAGCAAUCAAGGACAGUUUCUCAGCUAAUCAGUACAGGAAGAAGAGCCUAUGGUAACAGACAAUAAAGGAACAGCUUGCAGACGGCCUAUCGUGAGACUUUGCCUUGUGAUCAUAUUACAAGACUGAAUAAGAUAGACAUGACCUCCUUCCUCCUGGACCUGACAAUUGUUCCUUCAAAUCACUUCCACACAUGCAUUGCCUGGGGACUGGGGACUGGGGUCUGGAUCCCAUGGCCAGACCAAACCCCAAAGGAAGCUAUUGGAGAAUACACACCUUCGAAAUGCGGAGAAAUAUAAGAAAAGGAAGACAAGAGUUCAAGAAGCCAGGCAUCCAACAAUAAUAACUAAAGAGGCAAGGUAAUUCUCAGGAUGAUGUAACAGAAAGUCCAGACUGGUGAAUGACAAUGAAGAACUACAAGAGGUUUGUACUCUGAAAAGAAGAAGGAAAAAAGUGGAACUCACAGUUUGUCUAAAGUUUUUGACCAUGUUUCAAGGAAGUAUAUGGUUCUGUGCAAAGUUAGCAAAAGGUACAUUAAAAAAAUGAGAAAACAACAAAAUCAGGCAAUUACCAACUAAAAGUAUAAAGAAUUUGGUACAAAAAAGGAAAUUAAUAAUACACUACAUGCUAACUUGUUAACAAUUUUUACAUAGUACCAAUACAAUAAAUACAAUGUUAAUUUCAAACUGCAAUUAAUUAUGCUGGAAGGAUGUGGGAGUGUUAAGAGAGUUAAAUUAAAAUCUUCAUAACAGGAAGUCAACAGAUAAUACCUACUGAAUAUUUCUACUUUUUGGAGGGAUGUUGGGUUGGGGAACUACUGUUUCAUUUCCUUAAAGUACUAUUUGGCUUUUUAAAUUGCCUGUACACAUGCAUAUGCAUACAUAGUCUAAAGUUAAAUUUUUAAAACCACAUAUAAAAGCCAUGUGGGAAAAGAAUUAUUGUGAAUGCUUAGUAAAAGAAUGUAUGCACAGCACAUAAUACAAUGUUGAUACAUCAUAGAGUAUUAAUAAAGUCCCCAAGAUUUGCCUGCUUGGGAUAGUCUUAUUAACAAAAGUUAAUCUUGUUAAUAAAACAGUCAACAAAUAUAUAAAUCUUUACUCAUCAGUCCCUAGUAAAAUUUUCCAACUGUUGUGGAAGAUAUAAAGAAAUAUGAAACAUAAUCCUUACAUUAAAAUACCUUCUAAUAAGUUAUGGCAGUUAAUAUUUAAUUGGUGUUAUAUGUACAGUAGGCACUGUCCCAAGUUCUUUACAUAUUAUCUCUUUUAAUUCUAUGAGAUAGACAUUAUUAUCUCCAUUUUAUUAUAUAAAUGAGGAAACUGAGGCACACUAAAAUGAAGUAACUUGUCCAGGUCAUGGAGCUCAUAAGAGAGGGAGGUAGGAUUCCAGUCCAAGCAGAAGGCGAGGGAGUCUCAGAUUGCUUUAUAAUCUAAUUGAGGGGAAGAAGAAACAGAGCUAAACAACCUUAUAUGAUUUAAGGAGGAGUUCAACAUAAUACUGGAAGAGAUGUCACAAACUAAUGCAAGCAUACUUUAGGGGAAAUUGCUGUAUUACACUAGGAGAUCAGAAGAGAGUGCAAACCCUUCAGACUGAUAGCCAAGGAAGCAUUUAAUUGGACCAGCUGGCUGGGGAGGGCAUUCCUUGUAAGUGAAUCAACACGCAGAGGUGGUAACCAUAGCAUGCCAGGGAUCAGCGAGGAAGGUAAUUUGACUAGAGCAUAGCACAUUUUGUUCAUCCACAAAUAAAACCUGUGAGAUCAAAGCAGGAAAGGCCUAAUAACAAAUUAUAAAUGGCCUUGAAAGCAGACUAAGAAGCUUGGACUUUAUUUUGUGAAAACGGGAAGUGAUUGCUGAGCAUGUGCACUUAAUCUGGACAUUGUACAUGUAAUCAGCUGACAGGAAGAGAACAAGUAACGGCUUAUUGUGGCAGUCUGGAUAAGAUUUAUCAAAAUCUCAAACUAGCCUGGGGUAAGUGAGAGUGGAAUUGGCUGGAUCCUGGAUGAGAAGUCCCACAAGGACUUACAGAAACAAUUUGCAUUUUAUCUUUCUACCAAGGAGAAAAGUUUUUCAAACUACAAAGGCUAGAUAUAAUUAAAAGGGAAUUAAAUUUCAAAAAGUUCAAGUAAGAGUAUCUGCUUUGAAAAAAUGAGUUUCUAGGUUUCAAUAAGUUACAACAUAGCAUAAUCAAAUACUUAACUAUUAUGAUUAUGAAUUGGCUGGCAGGAUUUCUUUUAAAAUGAAAGUAAAGCUUUCUAGAUGUAACAAUAAAGCAUGCUCAAUAUGGAAAAAAUAUACAAAGAAAAAAAUCAGCAAACUUAUUCACAUACCCUUAGUUUGGUUAUUUUUUUUCAGUCUUUUCUAUGAAUAACUUUGUUUCCAUGUUAAUACAAAGUUACAAUUGAUUAUCAUAUUAUAUAUAGAAGAUAUAAUUUUCUUCUUGCUUAAACAUUUUAAUAAAACAUUUUUCAGUCUUUUCUUUGAAUAACUUUGUUUCCAUGUUAAUACACAGUUACAAUUGAAUUUUCUUCUUGCUUAAACUUUUUUUUUUUUUUUUUUUGAGAUGGGGUCUCACUCUAUCGCCCAGGCUGGAGUGCAGUGGCCCGAUCUUGGCUCACUGAAAACUCCGCCUCGCAGGUUCAUGCUAUUCUCCUGCCUCAGCCUC
rnacentral:lncRNA from 1 species